UACGUAGGGCGCAAGCGUUAUCCGGAAUUAUUGGGCGUAAAGGGUGCGUAGGCGGUCUGACAAGUCUGAUGUGAAAUCUAUGGGCUCAACCCGUAGUCUGCAUCGGAAACUGUCGGGCUUGAGUAUGGGAGAGGUGAGUGGAAUUUCCGGUGUAGCGGUGAAAUGCGUAGAUAUCGGAAAGAACACCAACGGCGGAAAGCACUCUGCUGGGCCGACACUGACACUGGAGAGACGAAAGCUAGGGGAGCGAAUGGG
rnacentral:rRNA from 1 species